rnacentral:miRNA from 1 species
UGAGUGACAGGGGAAAUGGGGA